GUUAAUGUAGCUUAACAAACCAAAGCAAGGCACUGAAAAUGCCUAGAUGAGCCAUAAAGGCUCCAUAAACA
rnacentral:tRNA from 1 species